rfam:Flavobacterium hercynium strain DSM 18292 43415_contig_18, whole genome shotgun sequence.
UCCUAGCCCUGAUAGCAGCGAAAAUCCUUUUGUGUCCGCCGCGGCGGACACAAAAGAUUGAAGCGAAUAGCAGGAAAGAGC